CCUACGGGGGGCAGCAGUGGGGAAUAUUGGGCAAUGGAGGAAACUCUGACCCAGCAACGCCGCGUGAAUGAUGAAGGUCUUCGGAUUGUAAAGUUCUUUUCUCAGGGAAGAAGAACGUGACGGUACCUUAGGAAUAAGCCUCGGCUAACUACGUGCCAGCAGCCGCGGUAAUACGUAGGAGGCAAGCGUUAUCCGGAAUGACUGGGCGUAAAGGGGGCGUAGGUGGUUUGACAAGUUGGUAGCGUAACUCCGGGGCUCACCCUCGGCACUACUACCAAAACUGUCGGACGGGAGUGCAGGAGGGGCAAAUGGAAUUCGUAGUGUAGCGGUGGAAUGCGUAGAUAUUAGGAGGAACACCAGUGGCGAAGGCGAUUUGCUGGACUGUAACUGACACCGAGGCACGAAAGCGUGGGGAGCAAACAGGAUUAGAUACCCUAGUAGUC
rnacentral:rRNA from 1 species